rnacentral:rRNA from 1 species
CAGCAGCCGCCGCGGUAAUACGUAGGGUGCAAGCGUUAAUCGGAAUUACUGGGCGUAAAGCGUGCGCAGGCGGUUAUGCAAGACAGAUGUGAAAUCCCCGGGCUCAACCUGGGAACUGCAUUUGUGACUGGCAAGCCAGAGUAUGGCAGAGGGGGGUGGAAUUCCGCGUGUAGCAGUGAAAUGCGUAGAUAUGCGGAGGAACACCGAUGGCGAAGGCAGCCCCCUGGGCCAAUACUGACGCUCAUGCACGAAAGCGUGGGGAGCAAACAGGAUUAGAUACCCCAGUAGUCCCUGUCUCUUAUAC